AAUUUCAUUCAGUAUUCCUACAAAAAAAUCAUAUAAUUUUAAUAAUUAAUAAUAAUAAUAAUUUAUUCGACUAAAAACAAACAUUGUACAAACAAAUCGAAAUAAAAUAACAUAACUGGUGUAGCAAACACCCACGCAUGCACAAUACAUGUUUAUCAUCAUAGACUAAAUGAAGCCCCAAAGGUAAUAUAAAAAAAGGUUAUAUUCACUGUAUCAGGGGUUUCCCCAUAAACAAAUUCUAUUCUAACUGAUAACAAAUAUUAGUAAGUGAAAAACCUACUCACAGUUACAAUUAUUAUCAAAUACUAAAUAGUAGCAGUGAAUAACAUGGAAAUUAUACUGUUUGCAUUUGUGACUGAUUGAGCAAUUCAAACUAGGAAAGGAGUUCUUAGAAUCAUCCAAAGAAUUCGAAGUAGCUAGAAUAACCUGAGAUUUUCAAUGAUCUGAAAAAAUUGAACAAUAAUAGGAAUAUGUUUCUGACUUGUCUUGGACACAAUCUUACGCCGUAGCAAAGCAAGUGCUGAGAGGGUGAACCCGUCUAGCGAGUUGGACUGCUUCUGGGGAAGUUGAAUGCUCAUGCCUACUGUAUACAGACAGUUACAGUUAUUUUGAAAAACUGGUCUUGAUCUUCCCCUCCAUGAUCAAGGACACCUACGUUGUUUCUCGAACGCAAGUGUAUGUUGGUAUCGACACGAAAGUAGACUCGAACAUUAUUGAUGAUGAAGGAAAAAGGGUGAACGUUUCGGGUUUUUCCAUUCCUUCAGGUUGAUAUUUCUCUGUUCAGAAUCAAAUGAUGCAUUCAAGUUAAAUAGGAAUUGUGGAAAAUAUUGUAGAUAAGAAAUAACUCCAUAUUGAUUUAAACAUUCAUUUAAUUGAAAGGAAAGAUUCCUGAAAAAAUUUCAAGUGUUAUCAAUUCAACUUUACUCAUGAAAUUAAAGUAAUUUAUUAAUUGCUGGAAAUCGACUAAAGUAUUCUCUCAAAUACGGUUGCAGCAUUAACUAUUAUCAGCAAAUCAAUAGGUGAUGGACUCAUGGAGAUUCGAAUUGAUAGUCUUAGUCGGAAUAUAUUUUCUCUUCUGUUAAUGGAAAAUAAUACUUUGCUACCAUAUAUUCUGUUUUCUAUAGAGAAGAAGUCUUCGAAAGUCGGUUCUGUUAUAUUUAUCAGUGAGGAUAUUACAAGGUUAUGAUUUCUGUACAGUCUAUACCAUUUCUUAUCUGGAUGACGUGAAUUUGCCAUUUUACUAAUAUUUCUACACUCAAUUAUCUUGAAGGCGUACAUUGAAACAUUCCGUUUCAAUAUUCGAAGCAAGAAUGUAGAAUGUUAUUAGAAACAAACCUGACCGUUACAUUUCAGAUAGUUAGUUUACCCUCAGGAUGCUCUCCCUCCGAUUCCAUCCUCUCUGAACACAGUAUCUGUGAGUCGAGUGAUUGUUGGGAACCUGUUGGAAGCUGCGAGCAGCUAAGAAGUGAUCACUUUUGUCGACUACAGGUUGCUGAGUUGACCUCCUUGCAGCGAAGGUGACUGGUACCUGACCAGAGGGUGCGGGCAGCAGAUCCGGUUGUGCCUUUGUUGUCACUAAUUAUUAUGCCUGCUCACUGCUUCCCAGUGACGCAUCACUAGCGUGGGUACAGCGACAUCGCUUCACUUGCUAAGAAGCAGUAUAACUCAGUCGGUGUGAGGCUCUGGAUACAUCAACACAUCAUGUAUCGAGUAGUGUAUCCUGAUACUUCAAAGUGGAAAAUGAGGGUCAUAAGAAUCGCAUGCUACAAUUUCGAGUUACAUGAUGUUGGAGGUGAUUGAAUGGAAGACAACAGAAUGAUCGACUGGACGUAAUGUUUCCUAAGUUGAACACCCUGAUGAUGGUUACUGAUGAUGAUGGUUCUGAUCAUGGUUACUACUUGCAGGAUUAUUCAAGAUUCACUACCAAGAUUUCCGCAUCAGCCUUGAUUAUCAAUUCACGUUAGGCUAUGAAUAUGCAUACCUGAUCAUUCAAUUCCAUUCUGAAUCCGUUAUACAGGCCUAUCACUGUAAGUACAACCAAGCAGUAGGGAGUAUCCUGUGGUAGCCUCGUCAACUUUCUGGAGCGUUAUCAUGGCAACGUCUGAAAUUAAUUUCAGCUGAUGACGACCAAGUCUAAUGGCAGCGACGUGUGCGUAUGAGGCAACAUCAGCAGCCUUUCUGCGAUGGAGGCCUCUGAAGCUUCAACUCCAGGAGGAAGUUUGAUACAUUCAACAUCCUGGCUUCACUGUUCCUCGCAGAACAACUUUCCAUUAACAAUUUCGACAGGUUGAAGAGCUGUGGAGUCCUGCAGGUGAAAAAUACGUUCAGCGUUACUGUUUCCGGAGCUAUAUUGGAAGAAGGAGAUUCUUGGAGAUUGGAGAAGGGUGAAAAGACGAAGAUCUCACUGGACCAGUUAGUUGUCUACUCCUUCCUUAGCGAGUUGUUCUGUUGAACUUAUUUUGUUGAUCAUACUUGGGAAACCACUAUUGGUAUUAACAAGCACAGCCAUAUUGAAUCUAAUAACAAAUUCAGCUGAUAAUCUUAUAACGAUGUUGGUUCGGAACGCGCUUGUUCUUCGCUUUAUAAUGAUAUCUUCGCGGGAUUGAAUCAUUCAAGCAUUGGAUAACUCUUUGUUAUUGGGAGUGGAAUCAACUUUUAAAUAAUGACUAGAAUGUGAUGCUGAUAAUAAAAGGUGCAAUUUUGGAAUUGAGGUAUUCUAGUAAUAGGCUAACAUGUCAACUUAUCAAUAAUCUCCCUUGACUUAACUUCUCCCCUUUAAUACAAAAGUUCAGAUCUUUAGUAAGAUUCACGUUAUAGUAGGAAGAUAGGAGAACAGAGUUUAUCUAUUUAUUAGGUGACAAACAAUACAAUCGACUGAGAGUUGCCGAUUCUCUGCCUUGUCACUGCCCCCUAAGGAGAAUAACUGGUACCAGUAUAUUGAUGUACUAUUAACUGUUCAUUAUUGUUGAGAAAAGUUAUAUUUUAUUUGUCAAGGAGAUAUAUUUUUCAAAAUUUAAAAAUAAAUUUUCUCAAUAAUGAGAUAUUGAGAAAAAUCUCAAUAUAUACAAUAUUAUUUAUAUUGAGAUUGAAUAUUUUCUUAAUUAAUUAUAGUUUUGAAUGGUCAAGAAAUGAUCUGGCAACGUUGAGAGGAUAGAGAAGGAUAGCGCAAUUUGUUUUGUCGAAUUAUGAACAAGAAUAGCAACAGCAAUAUUAAAUAAAUACUGCCAUUAGAACGUGGACCUCACUACAGUCGAUCUUGUGUCUUGUAAUUUAUGUCGUAAUCGAAUAAGGAAUUUAUCAAUUUUUUUAAGUUCAUCGAUAUUUCAAUAAAAGUAGUAAAUAACAUGAAAUUAUUCUCACUAUCCAUAGAUUAUUUUCAUUCAAUAUACUAAGGGCAGGCUAGAUAAUGAAUUAUCAUCUCUUUUAUAUAUUGAUAAAAUUGGUUAUUGAUAUUCAUGGAUUAUCUUGUUUAUCAUUUCUCCAAUGUCUUGUUUAAUGUAUCAACAAUAAUUUCCAACAAUCACCAUCAGAGAGUAUAGAAUGUAAUGUCACAUUAUAUACUCUCUGAUCACAAUGGCAGUAAAGUAGAUUGCUUAUAUCGCCCAAAAUACAAUAUCGUAAAACAUAGGUUAUCAAAUCGUAAUACACGAAUGUAAAAAACGAUUCAUCUCACACUGCCUCACCUCAUUCGGGAACAUCAUCAGACUAAUGAAUUACUUUCAAAUGUGAAUUGAUCAUUCUCGAAUUUCAUAUUCAACUAUCAUGAGGAUAGUUCAGAAUGAAUUAUAAUCAUAUUUUGUCACAUUAAUGCGAUAUUUUAUUAAUACUAGAUUUAUAUUGUCUUCGCAGACGACUUGGUGACCGAUUAUGAUAUCUCAUUCUAUGAUGAUUGAUCAACAAUCGGCUCCCUUGAGAGAGUUCCAUUUUUGUAUUAUGUAAAUAAUUUUGUACUUCAUCAUAGAUUCAAUACAUCUAAUUAAUUAUAGAAAUGAAAUACAUAUACUUUACUUAUUGAUAAUAACAACCAUAAUGGAAUAGCUGAUCAGAUUAUUUUGACAAACUUUGGAUUGGUCUUCAAAUGGCGGCUCAGUUAUUUUGAAGCCAAUAUUGGAGCUUUCCCAUCAAUGAGGGAACUAUUCCAUGAGAUCUCAUGCAGAAUGAUACAUCAUUUUAUAUGAAAAUCCUAAUAUAUUGAGCUCUUUGGAAGUACAAUGUCUCUGUUUUCCGCUUGAAAACUCCUUGAUGUAUUUUCUCAUUUCUCGAUUAGGCUGCAAUUGUUGAAAAUUCGAAUUCUUAAUGCUGAUUGAACCGGUAAUUGCAACUCACUCUAAUUCAUUCUCGUCCUAUAAAAUGUCUGAAUUUAAAGCAUUACUCCAGUUCUUAUAAGAGUAUAUUUUCGAAGUCUUAUAUCUAAGACCUUACUUACCUUCUUCAAAUCACUCACCUUCUGUUGUCCUUCAAUGAAUGAAUGGUGUACAAUGAUGAUUGCAUGUCGAAUCGAAUCUGCUACGUAGGCCAAGCACCAUCAAUUUACUAUUUACCCAAUAGUUCUAUCAAUAUUCAACCCUUAUUUUACUCAAUGCUGUCUCACAUCAAAUCAAUCUUUCAGCCAACUAGUUGUUUGUUACAAGUUAUAAUAAUAUUUUUUCGUAUACCAUCCUCCCAUUAAAAUUUUGAAAUGCAUUACUAUGUAUUUUUCAUGGUGAUAAGACUCAGCAUAAGAACUCAGUCGAACUCUAAUUCAAGCCUACAUAUAACCAGAGACAAAUAAAUUAAACAGUAUCUUUACUCUAUGAUAUUGCUCACUAAAUUUUUAAAGUAGGAAUAAUGAGUACUUUAUUUGCAUCAGCAUAACAUCAGCAGGUUAUUUGAUGAGUUAAUGGUGCAUCAAACACAAAUUUAUAUUGAACAGUUCAUAAGAUAUUUCAAUUACAACAAAAUUGGAAUUCAUGAAUUCUCAAAUCAAUUUGAAUAAACUGUUUGAAAAUUAUUUUAUUAUUGUAAAUAGAUCAAAAUAAUCAGUUUGAGAAUUAGAAAUCACUUUGAUAUAUCCUAUUUGAAUUCAUCAAUCAGAACGUAUCACUAAUUAUAACAAUUGGAUAGAUUCGAAUUGUCUAACUGCAGAUAUUUUUUGAAUUUACAAGAUAAAAGUCUCUAUCAAACCCCAGUAAACUCGAAUUUAAAUAUCAAGUUGCAGAAUAUCUUUGAUAAAUGAAAUCAUGGAACCAGGAAAUCUUCACGCUAUUUCAGUUCAAUAAAUGAGAGCGUAUACUAAAGAAAUAAUAUGCUUAAAUAUGUGAUAAUAGGUACCAAUUUCAAGUAUUUUCAUUCGAUAUGGAUGUCUGUCACAAUCCAUAAUCUUACUAGCUUACUACAAAGAAAAUCAUAGCCAAUUGUUCAGAAUUUCCAGAUAAGAGGCUUAUUUCGUUAGGUAAACUAAGUAUGAGCUCAUUCAGAUAUGUUGAUGAACAGUGGGUAUUAUCGUAGAGAAACAAUAGCGUAUUAAACUGACGCUAUUGUUUCUCUAUUUUAUUAUUCAAACAUGAACUUAAUAUGAAACUUCAGCUCAUCCUUUAAUGUUGAUAAUUGAUGAUAAUUUUACUCUCAUGGAAGCUCAAUUAUAUAUUAAAGAUAUAUAUUGCUUAUGACUUGAUCUUAUUAAAUUGAUUAUGGACUUAUUUACUCUAUUUAUCAUAGGUAUAUCAUUAUAGAUAAUGAAGAUGUUGGUAUAUCUUCAUCACGACCUAUAUCAACUGUAUUAAAUGGUCAAGUUUCCAAAAUUUAACAGCCCAUCUCUAGUAAAACAAGCAAACCUCGUGUUAUACUCAAAAUAUCCGGCAGGCGACCUCUUUGUUCAGUGUGACCAUGUCGCCAUCUAACUCACUCCAUAAUAAUCACAACAUCAUGAAUUUCAGCUCUCUAUUGCCUUGAUACAAAUCUAUGCAAUUUAGUGCUGUAUCAAAUUCAACCCGAAGCAAGGUUUCCGAACCAAGUUGAUUGUUUCUUCAAUACAUAGACUGAAUUGGGCACCAAUUAGCCGCGUUAAUAACGUAAAUAUCAGUGGCUAUUGAUUGUUAGCGAUGUCAUGAGUGGUUGUAUCAGAAUACGCCGUAUUUCUCAACAUUGAUUAAUUUCAUUACAGCAACAUGAUAAUGACAGUGACUAAUUUAGUGAACCAUAUUGGCUGUAUCAUUAUUAUAAUAUAGUACAGCCUCAAUAUUCACCUUUCAGCUUCCACUCACUUUUAAAAUAAACAGAAUAUUCAUGAGCAGUAAGUCUAUGAAAUUAUACUUCAAUGUCACGGGAGACUAUACAUAUCAUCAAAAUUAAUAAAUACAGGUGAUGAUAAUUCAUUCUAGUUUCUUAUCCUUAUUUUGAUUGAUAUAGAAGGUUUACCUCAACUGGAAUACAAUAUUAGGAUGAUUUUAUCUGAA